AAUAACAAAGGGAGAGAAUAUAAAACUAAAAGGGGAAAAGGAAAACAAUAAACACAAGUGGUGCACAAUGCAGCUGCUCACCCCCCACUGACCGAUACCUAACCUGACCUGAGCAGUAAUCUAAGCCUCCUGGGUAACUCCCUCCAGUUUCUAUACUGGGCAUGACAUGCUGUGGUAUGGAAUACCCCUUUGGCUAGUUUGGGUCAGGUGUCCUGUCUCUGCUUCCUCACGGCUUCCCUUGCGCCUCCUCACUGGCAGAGCAUGAGACUGAAAAGUCGCUGAUCAGGGUAAACUUUACUUAGCAACAACUAAAAAUCUUGGUGUUAUUAGUAUUGUUCCCAGGCUGAAAGUCAAAAACACAGCACUGCACCAGCUACUAAGAAGGAGUAAAAUGGCUGCUACUGCUGAACCCAGGACACACAGGCCUCUGAGAUCUGGUUUGGAAAGACAUCAAAAGGCUUUGUGAAUUUCCUUGGGAAUCCCCUACCAGGGAGACAGCAAGGACAGGCAGCCUGGGGAUGCAGAGUACAGCCACUGGAAAAGCCUGCAAGCCCAUAACUCAGCUGCCAAAACUGCCUCCUUUAUCAUGCUCUUAGUAUUUUGAUAGAUGAUUAAUAUUACUGGAAAAUCCUAACAAAAGCUGACAACAGAAGACCUCACUGAAGUUGCACACUUGGAAAGUAUUCACAAUUUGGGGAAGGAAAACCAAAGGAUGAUCUGGCAUUGAAAGCUGAUAUUAAUCCAGUACGUGACAAUGCUUUUUCUUUACCAUAUUUCUUUCAAGUCACAGAAUUUCCGUAACUACUUAAGUGGAAUUUUGUUGUUGCUGGAACAAAUGGUGGCUCAUGCUUUUUCCCAUACCCUUUCCCCCACAUGCAUUAUGCUGUGUAUGUCUGAAAACUAUUUUUCACAGUUAUGUAGGUUGCACAAAAAUCUCAGCACCUAAAUCCUUGAUGAAUGCAUCACUAAACAUAUUGGAAAAGAUAUUACAUGCUGAUGUGGAUUGAAAAUCAGAUGAAAUUCCUCCAUAGAGGAUUUUUCUCACAUAGUGAACCCUAGUAAAAAUAUUGCAAGAUACUAAGUUUUAGGAAUGAUUUUUUCAAGUAUAGGUAUUAUAAAAGCAGUUUGUAGCUUUCCCAGAUGCACUUUUUCCUCAGUAACAAACAUCCCACCUUCAAU